ensembl:antisense 1810008B01Rik RIKEN cDNA 1810008B01 gene
AAGCGCAGUUUACCAUGGCGCAGCACUCCUGCGGCAGAAACGUGAGGCAGCUGGGCACCUUACAUCUGCCAGGAGUCGAAGCUCGGCUAGCUUCCAGUUUCUAUUCCUCCUGGGACCCCAGCUCACACUUAUGCUGCUCCUGUGAGCCUGCCGCCCCUGCAGAAGGCCAAGAGCCAUGAGCCUCACUCACUCCAGGAUGUUGCCUGCUCUGACAACCACCACCACCUGGGUGAGGAAAUCCAGCGCUUCGAGGAGAUUCUCCAGCUCUCCCCGCAUGCUUGCAGAGACUUACUGGUCAUGCCGGGUGUCGGGGAUGCCUCUGUCCAUGUGCAGCUUGUCACUCUCCACCUGGUUGAACUUGUUGCGUGCGUACGGGUCCUGCCCAGAGCGAACCAUUGUACCGCCAACGUAUGCCUCCUGGUUAAAGUCUGGCCACCGGACUUUGCCUGGAAAAAGCGAAGCAGAGGGUGUGGGACAAGCGGACACGAGACCAGAGUGUCGCCAGAGACGGCAGCAAGUGUUAGGUUGAGCGACAGUGGCCUUGGCUCGUUCACAGGAGGACAACUGUAAUCAAGAGUAGCUGAGAGGGCCCUGAACGUCGUCACAUGGAAGCCAAGACUCUGCAAGACAAGAGUGAAAGCCCAAGCACACACUUCACUCAGUGCCUCGCAAGACAGUCGGCAACUCAGGCGCCAUGGAGUCCUGGGAAGGGGGUGUUCUCUGUCUGCCUACCUUCCCAGGAAUUUUGGUCAUGUCCCCAAACAAUCCCCGUCAGGCAAAGGAAACAAUGUGUGUAUAAAUUAAUAAAAGACUCCACUGUGCAAUCAGG